rnacentral:rRNA from 1 species
AUUGAACGCUGGCGGCAUGCUUUACACAUGCAAGUCGAACGGUAACAGGCCUUCGGGUGCUGACGAGUGGCGAACGGGCGAGUAAUGCAUCGGAACGUGCCCAAUCGUGGGGGAUAACGUAGCGAAAGUUACGCUAAUACCGCAUAAGCCCUGAGGGGGAAAGCGGGGGAUCGCAAGACCUCGCGCUAUUGGAGCGGCCGAUGUCAGAUUAGGUUGUUGGUGAGGUAAAAGCCUACCAAGGCGACGAUCUGUAGCUGGUCUGAGAGGACGACCAGCCACACUGGGACUGAGACACGGCCCAGACUCCUACGGGAGGCAGCAGUGGGGAAUUUUGGACAAUGGGCGCAAGCCUGAUCCAGCCAUGCCGCGUGCGGGAAGAAGGCCUCGG